CUGGUAUUGAUUGGUGCUUGCAUCAUGAUUUACAUUUGAGUGAGUGGCGAACUGGUGAGUAACACGUGGGAAACCUGCCCAGAAGCGGGGGAUAACACCUGGAAACAGAUGCUAAUACCGCAUAACAACUUGGACCGCAUGGUCCGAGUUUGAAAGAUGGCUUCGGCUAUCACUUUUGGAUGGUCCCGCGGCGUAUUAGCUAGAUGGUGGGGUAACGGCUCACCAUGGCAAUGAUACGUAGCCGACCUGAGAGGGUAAUCGGCCACAUUGGGACUGAGACACGGCCCAAACUCCUACGGGAGGCAGCAGUAGGGAAUCUUCCACAAUGGACGAAAGUCUGAUGGAGCAACGCCGCGUGAGUGAAGAAGGGUUUCGGCUCGUAAAACUCUGUUGUUAAAGAAGAACAUAUCUGAGAGUAACUGUUCAGGUAUUGACGGUAUUUAACCAGAAAGCCACGGCUAACUACGUGCCAGCAGCCGCGGUAAUACGUAGGUGGCAAGCGUUGUCCGGAUUUAUUGGGCGUAAAGCGAGCGCAGGCGGUUUUUUAAGUCUGAUGUGAAAGCCUUCGGCUCAACCGAAGAAGUGCAUCGGAAACUGGGAAACUUGAGUGCAGAAGAGGACAGUGGAACUCCAUGUGUAGCGGUGAAAUGCGUAGAUAUAUGGAAGAACACCAGUGGCGAAGGCGGCUGUCUGGUCUGUAACUGACGCUGAGGCUCGAAAGUAUGGGUAGCAAACAGGAUUAGAUACCCUGGUAGUCCAUACCGUAAACGAUGAAUGCUAAGUGUUGGAGGGUUUCCGCCCUUCAGUGCUGCAGCUAACGCAUUAAGCAUUCCGCCUGGGGAGUACGGCCGCAAGGCUGAAACUCAAAGGAAUUGACGGGGGCCCGCACAAGCGGUGGAGCAUGUGGUUUAAUUCGAAGCUACGCGAAGAACCUUACCAGGUCUUGACAUACUAUGCAAAUCUAAGAGAUUAGACGUUCCCUUCGGGGACAUGGAUACAGGUGGUGCAUGGUUGUCGUCAGCUCGUGUCGUGAGAUGUUGGGUUAAGUCCCGCAACGAGCGCAACCCUUAUUAUCAGUUGCCAGCAUUAAGUUGGGCACUCUGGUGAGACUGCCGGUGACAAACCGGAGGAAGGUGGGGAUGACGUCAAAUCAUCAUGCCCCUUAUGACCUGGGCUACACACGUGCUACAAUGGAUGGUACAACGAGUUGCGAACUCGCGAGAGUAAGCUAAUCUCUUAAAGCCAUUCUCAGUUCGGAUUGUAGGCUGCAACUCGCCUACAUGAAGUCGGAAUCGCUAGUAAUCGCGGAUCAGCAUGCCGCGGUGAAUACGUUCCCGGGCCUUGUACACACCGCCCGUCACACCAUGAGAGUUUGUAACACCCAA
rnacentral:rRNA from 2 species